CCUGGACCCGCCCCCACCCAACCGGCGCACCACCUCCCAGGCACCACGGAGCCUGCGCAAGCUGCGGGGCCGUAAAGGAACCGGCCCCCAAUCUCCGGGGCUUCAGUCCCGCCCCUCUCUCCCCCCAGUGCCCUGCAGCGCUCCCAGGGUCCGUGUCUGCCCUCCCCAAGCCCCCACUGUCAAUACAAUCCCUGUUAAAAAAAAAAAAUCUUUUUAGAGCCAGGCACGUGCCGUCGGCCUCUCCCCUGCCCGCCUGGCCCAGGAGGCGCCCACACCUGCGCCCUCACUUGCCGAGACUUUUACCUGUGCAGUCCCCGGCGGCGCCUGCAGCCGCGCAGGUGCCAUUUAAAAAUUUUGUAUGAAUUAUGUCCUCGCCCACAG
rnacentral:lncRNA from 10 species